AAGCUGUUCUUUUAACUACCUCUGUGUUAGAUUCAUCAGCGUGUGCAGACUGUGCUGGAAGGUGCGAGGGGUAGCAUCCUGGAUCAGUCUUGACAUCUUUAUUAUACAAAACAUAGAACAAAAAGAGCAGAUGGAUUUCUAGGAAGAAGGUAGAAGCAUCACUGAGGAAACAACCUGGAAAGCCACUGUGAAGACAUUUGAACAUGAAGACAGGAAGAAGAGAAC